GGAUGUGAGGGUGAUCUGGUUGUGACCUCUACUACCUCAUUGACCACCUGGGUGGGUUAUCUAGGUGUUCCCUUUCUCCCCCACUGUUCCAUGUGCAUCCCUCCUGAAGCUAACUCUUAGCUUAGAGGACGACCUUUCCCAAAUACAGGUAGACCAGUCUUCAGUGAAGUGUCUGAGAGUAGUUGUGAUCCCCUGCUGGAACCUCCAAACAAGCUCUCGAGGUCCAUUUAAGUGCUUUGAUCCUCAUCCUUCACACAUGCAUCAAGGAAAUGGGCUCCUAUUUUGGCAGCUUUCAUGGAAUU
rnacentral:snRNA from 1 species